rnacentral:lncRNA from 1 species
GCUUGGUGAAAGGCCCAUUGUUUUCGAUGCAAGUCUGAAUGAACCUCUUGGGGGCGUAGGAGCCAAAAAAUAUCUAAGCGAGUAAAAUUACAACAAGUUCUUCUGACACGCAUCGGAGAGCAGGGUAGGCUUUUCCAGAGGACAGACAAUAUGCCUGUAAUUUCUCAGAAGCACGAAUGUUUAAGGUAAUACUUCAAUUUCCUAUAUAUUAAUAAGCGUUACCGUACAUCCAUUGCUCAUAAUAGCGCACGUUUUUAUCUACACGGUACAGCGGAAGCGGGGCCCACCCAGUUUUAGUGAAAACUAAAAAAAACUUACCUGACGCCAUUAACGCGCCGACAAGUAGCGUCCACAGCAUUUUUAGUCCCAUUUGUACGACUCAAAACGUACAGUAACGAAUCAAAACACUCAACGCUCAACAAAAACUUGUGGGAAAAUGCAUGUUAAGAUUAAACAAAGUAUUCCUUCUCAGCCAGGUAGCGACAUCUCCAUUUUGUCCUUGACACUCGAUACCAGCCCGGCCGGGGAGUUACCUGAACGCCUCACAUCAACAGUCACAUCUUACAGAAGGCGUGGAGCAGGUAUCAAGACAGACAGGCACGUAGACAGAGACGUCGCAUUUGCUAAGCAAUGGCCUCUUCUACUGCCACUCUUGCACAGGGCAGCUUUGGCAAAGUUUACAAAAAG